UGCCUGGCGAUUGUAGCAGAGUGGAACUACCUGACUCCAUCCCGAACUCAGAAGUAAAACGCUCUAGCGCCGAAAAUACUUAGACCUUUGGUCUUGGGAAGAUAGGUCAUUGCCAGGACU
rnacentral:rRNA from 2 species